AGCUGAGCAGGGUCGAGGGUAGAUUCAAGCCAAAAUUACGUGCUGCUGUUGAACAAGAUUUUUGUGACAGCACAGAAUUUUGAUUCUGCUUCUGUAAAAGAAUAUGCCUUAACACCACAACUGCUUGCCAUCUUCAGGACUGAUUCUGAAGUGGAGGAAAUACAGUCAGUAGAAGCAUGAUAUGAAAAUCUCUGCUGAAAAAUAAUCUUGGCCUGAGGCUCAGGACAGGCAUCACUUAGUACUGGGCAGUGGCACGCUUAGGAUUUGAUAUGUCAUCGUGCAUCAAGACUUGGAACAGGAGGCUUUUGUACGGUAACAGUGAUUUGCAACUUCAUGGACGUGAAAGUUUGGACUCAAAAUCAUGAACUACUUUUUCUAAUCUCUGAUUGCGUUAACAACGCUGAGGUCCCAUUUGUUUUCUGCAGUCCAGUGGCAAGGAGAAAGCUAUCUGCCUGGAAGUUUGGAAUGCUGUAGUCAAUCUUACAGAGCAGCACCUUGGAAAAGAAGAGAAAAAACCAAAAAUGCUUCAAUGCCUUCCAGUAGUUUUAGAGGACUGAUGGAACCCACUAACUUCAGUUCCAGAAUCAAGGACGAAGAGAAAAAUUCCAGCAAAGACUCCAAAUGCAAAGAAUACAUACAUACAUACAUAUAUAUAUAUGAAAUACCAAAAGGGUAAGACUCAGAAUCAGCUUAGCUGCAUAAGAAUAUAGCCAUUUUGAGCUGUAAAAAUGAACAUCCGCUGAUAAGCAAAGAUUGUUGUAUUAAUUCAAAGCCUUCUAAUUUGCUUAGAUUUUUGUAGGAAUGGUGUGGCUUAAAGGGCGCUCUCCAAGUCUUGCAGUUUGCCCCAUUCCAAAGUGAAUAGUAGUUAGAACUAUCUGGAAGGGCACCACAGUUUUGUUUUGUUUUUGGUAGGUGAAGAAUGUACUUUUUCCCAGCUGUAUUCCCAGAAAUGCCUGGACUGCUCUGCUGAAAUCUGCCCCAAAACAUGCAAAGAAACAACAGAAGGCACACUUGGUACUUUUUGGCAAAGUUAUAAACAGAGAAAUUCUUCAUGCUUGCAGAGAAGAGGAUUCCCUUGCCAGAGGAAGGGGUUGGAAAUGUAUAUUAAAAAAAAAAAAGUGCCUAUGGAUUACAGGUAAAAAAUGAGUGACUAUUUUACAAAUGGAGAAACGCACAACUUGAGCUAUGGCUUUGGGUUUUUUCCCUUUUUUUCAGGAAGAAAGAGUCACUGUGUCAAAUAUAUUUUUUAACUGAUCAUCAACCAUAAAACCUCAAAUCUUCCCAAAGUUUUUUUCCUGAAACAAGAGCAACAAUAGAAAAUAAGGAGGGAGGAAGUUUUGUACCUCUUUGCAACAGUCUCCAUCAUCAAUACCUUUUCUCUUGUCAUGCCCAGGAUUGGAUUGAUGCUAUUAAAAAGAAAUUUUGGAGCCCUGUUAUUUAUAAAUGAGAAUGGUCCUGGAAAGCACAGAUGCUCUUUCAGUUACUCUUUGG
rnacentral:lncRNA from 1 species